CCUACGGGAGGCAGCAGUGGGGAAUAUUGCACAAUGGGGGAAACCCUGAUGCAGCGACGCCGCGUGAGUGAAGAAGUAUUUCGGUAUGUAAAGCUCUAUCAGCAGGGAAGAAAAUGACGGGACCUGAUUAAGAAGCACCGGCUAACUACGUGCCAGCAGCCGCGGGAAUACGUAGGGGGCAAGCGUUAUCCGGAUUUACUGGGUGUAAAGGGAGCGUAGACGGCAGCACAAGUCUGGAGUGAAAUGCCGGGGCUUAACCCCGGAACUGCUUUGGAGACUGUGCAGCUAGAGUGCAGGAGAGGUAAGUGGAAGUCCUAGUGUAGCGGUGAAAUGCGUAGAUAUUAGGAGGAACACCAGUGGCGAAGGCGGCUUACUGGACUGUAACUGACGUUGAGGCUCGAAAGCGUGGGGAGCAAACAGGAUUAGAUACCCCUGUAGUC
rnacentral:rRNA from 1 species